rnacentral:tRNA from 2 species
GCGUCCGUAGCUCAGCUGGAUAGAGCGCCGGACUUCGAAUCCGUAGGUCGCAGGUUCGAAUCCUGCCGGGCGUA